CCAUCACAACAGAAAUGUAGAGGCAUAUUCAUUAACAAUCAUUCCAGAAACACAUCAAUAAUUGACAGGAUUUGAACAACCUAAAUGAAAUAUACAAAAUAAACACGUAGUAGAACACAACAUUGAUAGCUUGGAGUUGGUAACUGCAGCAAGCAUCACCCAAAUUAAGAAACAGGAAGAUGUCCUGAAUAGUCCACUUAAUAGAGCAAACCAAUCCACUAGAUUGAAUAUUCCAGAUGAUUAGCCCACUUAUAGAUCGCAUAGUAAAAUAACCAGUCAACCCAAAAGGAUAAGGCCAAACAGGUCAAUUAACAACCUCAACUUUCAAGUUAUGCACAGGCUCCCACUUUACAAGAGGUCUGGAAGGGUUGUCUAUUGUAAGAAGCCUUACCCUGCUGGCAGAGAGAGACUAUAUUUCCAUGACUUGAACCCAUAACCUUCCUUUAGCAAUGGAGCAAUCUUAACAUUGCACCAAGCUUGACCUCAAUAACCUCAACUUCUGUUUUUCCUAAACCACCACAUUUCAUCCAUAACCACUGUCAACAGCAUGCUACCAUAUCUUAAAAAUCAGUGUUGAACUGCCAUGAGAUAAAAAAGCAGGAGCACCAAAGCCUUCAUUUCAAUUGUAUUUUCAAGCAAAACAUUCCAAGUGUUGGGCAUCCAUGCAUUAGGAAUAUGGUCCAUCAAGUUACUGCUGCCUUGUCCAAUAUUGAAAUCCGUCAUCCCAAACCCACUUAUGAAAUAGGAUUAAAAUGCAUCAACAAGCCAUCCAUAAUUAAACCUCGUUUAAUGGAACAAGGAAACUCCCAAAUGAAAGAGGUUUCCAUCAUUAUUAAAUUAUCAAUAUCCUUACUCUCAAAAAAGCUUCCCCCAUUAAAUCCCUAAAAAAAUUUGAGAUGAUUAGACAAUAAGCAAGCCACUUUGCAACUGAAACCCAAACUAGAAGAAUCUCAACACGUCCAAUGCUAGUCCACUAUCAUGAGCUUAUGCCUGCGCCUGUUCUUGCUGAUAGUCAAAUGCAUAAACAAGCAUCUCUAGAGCAUUCUCAAAUUCUUCUCGUAUCACUUCUUAAGUAAACAGCAUCAAUCCAAGAAAGAUGAAUAAACAAAUAAAUAAAUAAUACAGCGACAGGAAAUUCAGGCAUGAAUGUUAGCAUCCUGGCCCGCUUAAUCUAAACUCUAAAUAGAAUCAGUCCAAAAACUACCAAUGUGUGGACAUAUAAAAAUUCCCAACAUACAGAACCAAUGAAGAAAUUUAAUUCAAUAGCUCACUAAAACUCAACAACAUGCAAGGCAUCAAAGUCCCAAUACAUAAACAGAUACUUAUACAUAUGCAUUACCACAAGAGUAUCA
rnacentral:misc_RNA from 1 species